rnacentral:lncRNA from 1 species
AUGGGAUUCGGGAUUCGAACGGAAGCUGCCAGAGCCCCUACACCUCGCGCCGUGAGCACAGCGCCACCCACGACCUGCGGCGGUGUGGUUGGGUGUACCCAGAUGCCAUUGGUCUCUCUGCAACAUUUGGGGCACCGAAGCCAACUUGACCUGCCUGAUGCAAACAUCUGGAUUCCAGGGGAACUACCAGGGCCAGUGGCUGAAGGCACAAGCAUCGAAUCACCAGCUCUUCAGACUCCAGGUUGGUGCCACUCAACACUAGUAUUAACCACACCAUUACAGGAUGCCACCCACACGUAGAUUUGUGGGUGUGGCAUCCUUACUUUUGUUUUUUAAUUAAUAGACAUUUUUUAUUGAGGUAACGGUUUAUAAUAUUGCAUAAUUUAAGAUAUACAUCAUUAUAUUUCGAUUUCAGUGUACACUACAUCAUAUUCACCACCCAAAGACUAACUACCAUCUUUCACCCUACACAUGUGGCCUAUUACUCCUUUCUCCCUCCUCCCCUCUGGUAAUCAUACAGUAUUUGACUUUCUCUGUCUGACUUAUUUGCUAAGUAUAAUACCCUCAGGUUCCGUCCAUGUUAUCACAAAUGGCAAGAUUGCAUCAUUUUUUACAGCUGAGUAGUAUUCCAUUGUGUAUAUCUAUACCACAUCUUUACCCAUUCAUCCAUUGAUGGGCGCUUAGGUUGUUUCCACGUCUUGGCUAUUGUGAAUAAUGCUGCAAUGAACAUAGGGGUAUAAAUAUCUUUUUGCAUUUGUGUUUUCAUGUUCUUUGGAUAAAUACCAAGAAAUGGAGUGGCUGGAUCAUAUGGUAGUUCUAUUCUUAAUUGUUUUAGGAACCUCCAUGCUUUUUCAUGGUGGCUACACCAGUUUACAUUCCCACCAGCAGUGGUGAGGGUUCCCUUUGUUCCACUCCUCUCCAAUACUUGUUAUUUCUUGUCUUAAUUACAGCCAUUCUGACGAGUGUGAGGUGGUAUCUCAUUGCAGUUUUGUUUGCAUUUCCUUAAUAAUUAGCAAUGUUGAACAUCUUGUCAAGUCCUUUCGACGUCUGUGU